rnacentral:rRNA from 1 species
GGGAAGAGGAAUGGGUCUAGGUUCUGCCUUGUACUAAUUCACUCGACCCUUUCUUCUGGGGAAGCAAGGUGUCCUUCAGUGGAUGCUUUGGGGAACCAGGACGAUUACCUUGAGAAAAAUAGAGUGUUCAAAGCAGGCUUAUGCUUGAAUACGUUAGCAUGGAAUAAUAGAAUAGGACGUGUGGUUCUAUUUUGUUGGUUUCUAGAAUCGCCGUA